GGGGGCGUACCGGUUUCGACGGGGACUGAGAAACAGGGUAAGCGAGUAGAGGCGCUCGACCUCUAUAAAACGGGUAACUUAAAUAUAAACGCUAACACUGAUUACGCGUACGCUGCUUAAUUAAGCAGCCGUCCGACUGCGGAGGACCACGGCCGCAGGAGGGCGUCGAUGAGUGGUGAACGAUCACGGGAAGGGCUCCGGGCCUGUGAUUGUAUCAGGAGCUACUAAAGCCUUCAGCCUGCUGUCCGGCGGGAGGCGGAGGGAAUGCUAAAAGAGCAGCUACACUCGUAGAAAGCCGUGCGGACUGGUUUUCGGACAGGAGUUCGACUCUCCUCGCCUCCACCA
rnacentral:tmRNA from 1 species